rnacentral:lncRNA from 1 species
AAGGGAAAACAAUAAUCAAUCACUUAAUGUUGUUAAUUUAUGGGGUUUAAUCAUUCUUUUCAUAAGGGGCCUUAUGAAUAAAUUUUUGAAAUAAGAAAUUAUAUAAUACAACUAGAACAGGGGUAAGUAUAGUGUAAUUGAAUUUACCUCGUUUUAAAAUUAAUAGUAAUAAUAAUUACCUUUGAAAGGGUCGAAUUUGGUGGAAGUUGCAAGAUUUAAGGUAUCAUUAAAAUAACUCAAAGGAUCUUGAGGAUAAUCAGAGCACAUCCCAUGGUUUUGCCAUUCAUGUCUCCAAAAAACAGAGUUGUCAACCCCUGCCCUAAGGUUUGGCCACCUUUGGUUUAGUCUGUCUUGAAUGGGUGUUAGUUUAGCCUGCCAUUUUUACAAUAAAACAAAAUUAACACAACACCACCAAUUCAUGUUAUCUAAGCUAAACACAUGAACAAUAAAAAUAAAGAGGUUACCACAGCAGCAUCGGGACCAACAGGAUUGGCAUGGCAUCUAUUAUUAGGCCCAUAAGCAGGAACUGCGGUGUCAUUGGCAAAUGUUGGCCAUAACCCAUGGAUGGUGAAGAAAGUAGGUAUUGGAGUCUUACAGUUGGCGAGUGGAUAACAAGCAGAAGUCGGCCAUAUCAGA